UUUCACCUAAUUGGUUGUGCUAUAUUCUUUCUUGUUUAAUCUUAGGUUUUCUCGAUGACCGAGGGUAAUAUCCGGUAGGAUAUUUUUGACGUUAUUUUGCAUAACUAGGUGAGUGUUCCUUGUUUGUUGUAUUUUCUUGACUUCAUGACUUGUAUUAUUGUUUGAUAACGUGUUAAGUGCUCUCAAUGAUUUUCAAAAUGAGUUUUCUAGGCGAGUGUGUACUUUAUCGCACUCGACCUAAAUAAAUGUGAAAUUGUCAAGGAUUUAAUGAUUGAAACGUUAGUUGCGCAUGAUGUAAGCCUUUUGGCUGAACUGGGCCCUGCCCUUUGUUACCGAUAGACUCGAGCCAGAAGCGGAUUUGGUCGGGCGAUAUGGUGACCCUGGGUGAAUUUGGUAUACUCGAGUAUUACCUUGUAUUCUGGUGGAGCCUGGCCAACGUCCAGGAGGGGGUGAAUGAAACGAAAGAAAGAACGAGGGUUUUAUUUAAAAAAAAAUGCAUUUUCCAAACGAUUGGAGGAAUAAGGGGAAAUGACAGGAGAACGAACGAACGAACGUAUCCUUUUAACGAACGAACGUAUCGCUUUAUAUUGUGAAUGUUUCAUGACUUGUUGUUUGAUUUAUGGCUUGAUUAUAUGUUCGGAACCUCACUGAGCUUUUAGCUCAUCCCUUUAGUUUUGUUUUCCUUAACAGGGGAAGGCGAGCAAGGACGAGAGCUUGUAUCGACUAGCCUAAGCUAGGCCGUUGAUUUUGUAAUGGUUCUCGCCCUAGUGCUUGGCACUGGCUGGUUGUAUGAAAAUUGAGAACCUUUGUAUAUUCGAUGGUUGUAUUUCCUUUUAGAUAGCAAUGUAUAUAAGUUUCACUUUAAGUUUGGAACAUUGUUACACUUAUUCUUGGGGUUUAUUCCGAUGGUUGCUUGAAAUGAUCGACUGAGUCCCGG
rnacentral:lncRNA from 1 species